rnacentral:rRNA from 1 species
GACGAACGCUGGCGGCGCGCUUAACACAUGCAAGUCGACCGGAAAGGUCCUGUUUUUGUGGGGUUCUCGAGUGGCGAACGGGUGAGUAACACGUGAGUACCCUGCCCUUGACUAUGGGAUAUCUUCAGGAAACUGGGGCUACUACCGGAUAGGAGCUCCCGCCGCACGGUGGGGGUUGGCCCGUUUCGGCGGUUGGGGAUGGACUCGCGCCUUAUCAGCUUGUUGGUGGGGUAGUGGCUUACCAAGGCUCUGACGGGUAGCCGGCCUGAGAGGGUGACCGGCCACAUUGGGACUGAGAUACGGCCCAGACUCCUACGGGAGGCAGCAGAGGGGAAUAUUGCACAAUGGGCGGAAGCCUGAUGCAGCAACGCCGCGUGCGGGAUGACGGCCUUCGGGUUGUAAACCGCUUUCGCCUGUGACGAAGCGUGAGUGACGGUAAUGGGUAAAGAAGCACCGGCUAACUACGUG